GACGUAGGGCGCGAGCGUUGUCCGGAUUUAUUGGGCGUAAAGAGCUCGUAGGCGGCUUGUCGCGUCGACUGUGAAAACCCGGGGCUCAACCCCGGGCCUGCAGCCGAUACGGGCAGACUAGAGUUCGGCAGGGGAGACUGGAAUUCCUGGUGUAGCGGUGAAAUGCGCAGAUAUCAGGAGGAACACCGGUGGCGAAGGCGGGUCUCUGGGCCGAUACUGACGCUGAGGAGCGAAAGCGUGGGGAGCGAACGGG
rnacentral:rRNA from 1 species